AGAGUUCGAUCCUGGCUCAGGAUGAACGCUGGCGGCGCGCCUAACACAUGCAAGUCGAACGGCACCCCUCUCCGGAGGGAAGCGAGUGGCGAACGGCUGAGUAACACGUGGAGAACCUGCCCCCUCCCCCGGGAUAGCCGCCCGAAAGGACGGGUAAUACCGGAUACCCCGGGGUGCCGCAUGGCACCCCGGCUAAAGCCCCGACGGGAGGGGAUGGCUCCGCGGCCCAUCAGGUAGACGGCGGGGUGACGGCCCACCGUGCCGACAACGGGUAGCCGGGUUGAGAGACCGACCGGCCAGAUUGGGACUGAGACACGGCCCAGACUCCUACGGGAGGCAGCAGUGGGGAAUCUUGCGCAAUGGGGGGAACCCUGACGCAGCGACGCCGCGUGCGGGACGGAGGCCUUCGGGUCGUAAACCGCUUUCAGCAGGGAAGAGUCAAGACUGUACCUGCAGAAGAAGCCCCGGCUAACUACGUGCCAGCAGCCGCGGUAAUACGUAGGGGGCGAGCGUUAUCCGGAUUCAUUGGGCGUAAAGCGCGCGUAGGCGGCCCGGCAGGCCGGGGGUCGAAGCGGGGGGCUCAACCCCCCGAAGCCCCCGGAACCUCCGCGGCUUGGGUCCGGUAGGGGAGGGUGGAACACCCGGUGUAGCGGUGGAAUGCGCAGAUAUCGGGUGGAACACCGGUGGCGAAGGCGGCCCUCUGGGCCGAGACCGACGCUGAGGCGCGAAAGCUGGGGGAGCGAACAGGAUUAGAUACCCUGGUAGUCCCAGCCGUAAACGAUGGACGCUAGGUGUGGGGGGACGAUCCCCCCGUGCCGCAGCCAACGCAUUAAGCGUCCCGCCUGGGGAGUACGGCCGCAAGGCUAAAACUCAAAGGAAUUGACGGGGGCCCGCACAAGCAGCGGAGCAUGUGGUUUAAUU
rnacentral:rRNA from 1 species